rnacentral:rRNA from 1 species
GUCGAACGGCAGCGCGGGUGCUUGCACCUGGCGGCGAGUGGCGAACGGGUGAGUAAUGUAUCGGAACGUGCCCAGUAGCGGGGGAUAACUACGCGAGAGCGUGGCUAAUACCGCAUACGCCCUUAGGGGGAAAGGUGGGGAUUCUUCGGAACCUGCCACUAUUGGAGCGGCCGAUAUCGGAUUAGCUAGUUGGUGGGGUAAAGGCCUACCAAGGCGACGAUCCGUAGCUGGUUUGAGAGGACGACCAGCCACACUGGGACUGAGACACGGCCCAGACUCCUACGGGAGGCAGCAGUGGGGAAUUUUGGACAAUGGGGGAAACCCUGAUCCAGCCAUUUCGCGUGUGCGAUGAAGGCCUUCGGGUUGUAAAGCACUUUUGGCGGGGAAGAAAAGCGCCGGGCUAAUACCCUGGCGUGCUGACGGUA